AACGAACGCUGGCGGCGUGCCUAACACAUGCAAGUCGAGCGCGAAUGGAGCAAUCCUAGUAGAGCGGCGCACGGGUGCGUAACACGUGGGUAAUCUUCCCAGGAGCUCGGGAUAACCAGCCGAAAGGUUGGCUAAUACCGCGUAAGCUCACAGUCACUCACGAGACAGUGAGAAAAGACGGCCUCAGUACACAAGCUGUCACUUCUGGAUGAGCCCGCGGCCCAUCAGCUAGUUAGCGGGGUAACGGCCCACCAAGGCAACGACGGGUAGCUGGUCUAAGAGGACGAUCAGCCAAACUGGAACUGAGACACGGUCCAGACUCCUACGGGAGGCAGCAGUGGGGAAUUUUGCACAAUGGGCGAAAGCCUGAUGCAGCAACGCCGCGUGUGUGAUGAAGGUCUUCGGAUCGUAAAGCACUUUCGACCGGGACGAAACCGUAUUGGCUAACAUCCAAUGCCUUGACGGUACCGGGAGAAGAAGCACCGGCUAACUCUGUGCCAGCCGCCGCCGUAAAAC
rnacentral:rRNA from 1 species